UUUCCGUAGGUGAACCUGCGGAAGGAUCAUUAUUGAAUGAAACACUUCAGGCUUUAUGCUGUUGUGCUGGCCCUUUGGGCAAUGUGCACACGGCUCUGGUCACUUGUUUCUUCUGUUCCACCUGUGCACUGCCUGUAGACACGCUGUGUCUAUGAUAUUUGUUAACACACAACAAUGUUAGUUGGCAUGUUAUAUAUAAUAAUAAAAUAUACAACUUUCAACAACGGAUCUCUUGGCUCUC
rnacentral:misc_RNA from 1 species